rnacentral:rRNA from 1 species
GACGAACGCUGGCGGCGUGCUUAACACAUGCAAGUCGAACGAGGAUCUUUAUUUCGGUAAAGAUCCGAGUGGCAAACGGGUGAGUAACGCGUAGACAACCUGCCUCUCUGAUGGGGACAACAGUUCGAAAGGACUGCUAAUACCGAAUGACGUGGAAGCUCCACAUGGAGCCUCCACCAAAGACAGCCUACUUACAGUGCUGUCGCAGAGAGAUGGGUCUGCGUCUGAUUAGCUAGUUGGAGGGGUAACGGCCCACCAAGGCGACGAUUAGUAGCCGGACUGAGAGGAUGGACGGCCAAAUUGGAACUGAGAAACGGUACAAACUCCUACGGGAGGCAGCAGUGGGGAAUCUUCCGCAAUGGGCGAAAGCCUGACGGAGCAACGCCGCGUGAGUGAAGAAGGCCUUCGGGUCGUAAAGCUCUGUUGUUCGGGACGAAUGGCAGUACGAAGAACAAGCGUACUGCAUGACGGUACCGGACGAGGAAGCCACGGCUAACUACGUGCCAGCAGCCGCCGUAACAC